AGGUAACAGACAGUCCUGGAGUCUUUGUAAACAAUAAAAGCAGACUUCACUCGGCAAUCGGAGUGUCCAGUCCGAGAGGGCAAUCAAACUUCCAAACCUGGAAGGACACAGGAUGCUUUCUAUUCCAGCUGGAAGCUAACCCUGGGCGGUGGUCAGGUUGGACACUUCCCAGUCCUUCUGGUUAUGACCCAGGAAGAAGGAAGAGGGGAAAGGAAGAAAAGUCUCAUUGUCAUACCUUAGUGCCGCCUAAAGCUGGCUCCUGGUAUCUUGGGAUUCUGGAUAAUAUCCUCAGUGACGGUUUUUGGGUACGAGUUAGGGCGACUCUGUUUGGAGGCUUGUCCAUCAUUUCUUCUUUGGCCACCAGCUUUCUGCUCCAUCAUCAGGUGGCCAACGGCAUGGACCCUGGAGUAAGGCAGACCUGGACUUGGAUCUCAGCACUCUGACUGAGGAGCUCUAUCACCUUGGGGACUCAAGGCUAUGUGAAACACCUUUGAUGGAAGAUUUGUCCUUAUAAAACAUGAGUGCUAUGACUCUCAGGUCCCAGGGACCUUGCUGAUUCAAGGCAUCAUUGUGAAGUCCAGUUACCAGCUACGUGACCUGGAACAAGUUA
rnacentral:lncRNA from 1 species